UACAGAGGGUGCGAGCGUUGUUCGGAAUUACUGGGCGUAAAGCGCGCGCAGGCGGCCUUUUAAGUCUGCUGGUGAAAUGCCGGGGCUCAACCCCGUGCCCGCCACAGAUACUGGGAGGCUGGAGACGAGUAGAGGCAAGCGGAAUUCCGGGUGUAGCGGUGGAAUGCGUAGAGAUCCGGAAGAACACCGGAGGCGAAGGCGGCUUGCUGGGCUCGGUCUGACGGCUGAGGCGCGAAAGCGUGGGGAGCGAACAGG
rnacentral:rRNA from 1 species